UACGUAGGGUGCAAGCGUUGUCCGGAAUUAUUGGGCGUAAAGAGCUCGUAGGCGGUCUGUCGCGUCGGCUGUGAAAACCCGUGGCUCAACCCCGGGCCUGCAGUCGAUACGGGCAGACUAGAGUGCGGUAGGGGAGACUGGAAUUCCUGGUGUAGCGGUGAAAUGCGCAGAUAUCAGGAGGAACACCGAUGGCGAAGGCAGGUCUCUGGGCCGAUACUGACGCUGAGGAGCGAAAGCGUGGGGAGCGAACAGG
rnacentral:rRNA from 1 species